rnacentral:rRNA from 1 species
GACGAACCGUGCGAACGUUAUUCGGAAUCACUGGGCUUAAAGCGCGUGUAGGCGGAUGAGCACGUCUGUCGCUGAAAUCCCUCGGCUCAACCGGGGAACUGCGUGUGAUACUGGCGGGCUUGAAUUCGGGAGAGGGAUGUGGAAUUCCAGGUGUAGCGGUGAAAUGCGUAGAUAUCUGGAGGAACACCGGUGGCGAAGGCGGCAUCCUGGACCGAGAUUGACGCUGAGGCGCGAAAGCUAGGGGAGCAAACGGG